ensembl:lncRNA
AUAUGCUCACCAGGCAUGUGGGAAGGGGAGUCAGACCCUCCUGAACUGAGAGUGGGGAAGGAGUGCUUCCCAAAAGGACAAUCAAGAUGAUUUUACAUCAAGAAAGUGGAACGGAUCUGGACUGGCAACUCCCAGUCCAGUAGCCGAGAGAGAGAGAGACACCCACAAUGGACUCUGGGCUAUGCCUGAAUACAUCAAGCACAAUCUCACUCAGGGCUUCUGCACGUGCUCAUCGGCCAGAUAGUUUAUGGUGAGGCCCUCCCCACUGGUGGUGUGCUAGAGCCAGCCAGCACCAACCUGCAAGAAAUUACUGAGGAAAUGGAGGGGAGCUGAAGCAGAGGAGGAAGGCGGAAAGCAGCAAACCCAGACGGUCUGCACACCUGGUCACUGGAAACUCGGCCGAGGCUUCUGGAGAGAAGGACGUUUUCCAAGAC